rnacentral:lncRNA from 1 species
UUAUAUUCCUAAUUAUUUGUUAGGAUAUACGUUAGGAUAUAUGAUGAUAGGAUAGAGGGGUUGAGGAGUAAGCGUGUGGGGGGUGUCAGUUAAAAAGGGAAAGUGGGUCAGAGCCUCUAUAAACAGAGGUAGUGUAACGCGGUAGGGGAUAUCGAGUAUUUUGUGAAGUCAGGUCUAUUGCCUGUAGAGAGGUUAUGCUCUCAAGGGAGGUUAUGCUCCCAAACCCAUAUUGUGUACAGUGACUAUCCAUUCUUCAUCAAUAAUACAGUUCUUUCUUUCAUCUUUGGUUGUUUCGUGUGCUAUUGAGAGAGUUUUGGUUAGGUUCACUAACUAACUAGUAACCUAACAAAUUGGUCCGACCUGUCGGAUCAAAGUGGGGGUGAAGGAUCAAGAAGCUGUUGGAUCAUCAAGGGAGGACUGCCGAAUCUCCUUAGGAGAGGGCUGCCAGAUCAAGAAAGGGUGGAGCAUGGAAGGAAGAAACAAUACCUUGGAGAGGAGGACCAGCGGUCAGAAAAUGAGCAUGGCAGAAUCGAAAAUGAACAUGGCAGAAUAUAGAAGAAAUAUGGAAGAAAUAAGAGAAAUGCUGCAAGAAAUCAAGAUUCACAUAAAGGGCCUAGGAAGAAGUGAGGAAUCUGUCAUGAAAGGGCAGAAAGACGGUUCAGAUGAAGAGGAGAUGGAGGAAGACAGGGGUGAACAAAAUUGGAGGCAGCAGGUAUAAUUGGCCAGGUUUGAGGGGCUGGACCCAUUGGGAUGGAUCUCUCAGGCAGAGAAGUUUUCUGACACCCAAAACGUCAAAGAGAAGGAGAGGUUCAGGUUGGCUUACAGCUGCAUGGAAGGAGGCACAAUCUAUUGGUUCAGGGUCUGGAAAAAUAAAACCAAGAACCUUUCUUGGAAAGGGCUGAAAGAGGCAUUAAUAAUUGGGUUUGGAGGAAGAGUCAGAGGGUCUGUUUUUGAGAAGAAAAGAGAAACGGAAGCUGCUGCAGUUUUGAGUGUUGAUGGUUUUGCAAGAAUUAGAGGGCAGGAUAGGAGAGAAGAAAAUAUUCGUGGGGAGGAAGGCAAUGCUGCAAAUGGUGAUGGAGACAUGGGUGUGACUGCUGCUGGAAAAGUUGAAAAAGCUGUUGAUUUUACUGCUGCAAACUGUGAUGGAGACAUGGGUGUGAUUGCUGCUGGAAAAGUUGAAAAAGCUACUGAUUUUACUGCUGCAAACUGUGAUGGAGACAUGGGUGUGACUGCUGCUGGAAAAGUUGAAAAAACUGCUGAUUUUACUGUUGCUGACAAAGUAGAAAAAGCUGUGGUUUUUACUGCUGCUGAAAAAGUUGCUGCUGCUGAGAAAGUUGCUGUUUUUAGUGGAGAUGGUGUGGUAGGUUGUGGUGUGAAUGUCAAAACAAAAGAACGCUCGGGUGGAAGAGAAAAUGCAAGCAAUUGGGAGCAAAAGGAGAGGAUGCCACUGACAAUAAUGGAGCUAGGAAGGGUGAGGAGACACCAAUUUUUUCAUGGGUGAAAAGAGAAGAGUUGAUCACUUAUAAAGAGAUUGACAAGCAAGAUCAAACAACAGGAGCAGCAAAUGCUUUUAAAGUUCAAAACACCAAAGGAUCAACAAAAGCACAUCCAAGCAACAAAGAAAAUGUAGUCCAAGGGUGCAAGACUUGGCAUAAAAAAUUCAAGCACCUUUCUUGGAAAAAUCUGGCCCCAACUCUACUAAAGAUAGUUGAAAGGAACAGAAGAUCAGUCUAUGUGAGAAUUGGGCAACAGUAACACAGAGGGGGAGCGUGGAAAUUUUAUAUGAGAGUUUGCAAGUAGAUGGAGUAGCUGCCAAAAGUGUUGUUGCUACAAGGGCCGAUGAAGUCAGAAUUGAGAUUUUGAGGACUUCACAAAAUUGGGCUAAAAGAAUCCAGGAAGAGUGGAAGUCAUUGGAGGAGGAUUUGCCACCACCCAAGCCUCCAGACUUUUAUUAGAGGGCAGCAUCCAGUGGGUAACAGGUUGAUGAAGAGGAGCCAUGAGAUCAAGCCUUCCAUUUCCAACCUUGAGGACAAGGUUGUUUGGAAGGGGGGUGUAAUGUUAGGAUAUACGUUAGGAUAUAUGAUGAUAGGAUAGAGGGGUUGAGGAGUAAGCGUGUGNGGGGUGUCGGUUAAAAAGGGGAAGUGGGUCAGAGCCUCUAUAAAUAGAGGUAGUGUAACGCGGUAGGGGAUAUCGAGUAUUUUGUGAAGUCAGGUCUAUUGCCUGUANAGAGGUUAUGCUCUCAAGGGAGGUUAUGCUCCCAAACUCAUGCUGUGUACAGUGACUAUCCAUUCUUCAGCAAUAAUAUAGUUCUUUCUUUCAUCUUUGGUUGUUACGUGUGCUAUUGAGAGAGUUUUGGUUAGGUUCACUGACUAGGAACCUAACAUUAUUGCUACUAGGAUGUUGAAUAUCGUCAAUCAUCGUUAUUUGUACAGGGUUAACAAAUUUGGAGUAUUAGAAUCUGGAAUCUUGCAGGAUAGGCGAUGAUGGGCUUGCUAAUUUGACAGGUUUGCACUAGUAUUUAACCAUUUUCCUUUAGUUACAUUUAAAUGGUAAUUGCAUUGUUCAAAGUUUGAAUAGAUUUGUCACACUAGUUCAAAACACUAGCUCAAAGUUUUCUUGAUCUGUGCCUGACGAUUUGACAAGAGGCAUCUGUGCCUGACGAUUUGACAAGAGGCAUUGAGGCUUUAUACCUUUAUGCCAUUUUUAGCUGAUGAUUGAAUGGCAUAAUUUGAUGAUUCAAACCCACCUAUCUUAUUAGACAAUAAAUAUUGAGAUGGUAAGAUCCAUGUGAAACUUUGCAUAUUCCAACUUGAAUAUCUGAAUUGCAGUUAUAAAAUUGUCGGGGGGAUUUAAGCCAGCGUUUAGCCUUAACAUUGUGCUUAAAAUGUAUAUAUAUACGUGCUUGGUCUGAUCACUGGUGGUUCUAAUUCAGUUUUGCUUAUAUUUUUAUUUUAAUUUCCUUAAUUUGUUCUAUCAAAAUGCUUUUUGAAGGGGAAAAGUUUUGGUUAUGAAAAUGAGAUUUUAGGAAUUAAUAAUUUCAUUUGAAGUAUCACCUGUGGUUUAAAAUUAUUAGUUAUUUGUUCUUUCAGGCCUCACACUCUUGAAAAGUCUGGUGCUGUCGGACAUUGACAUUGGGAAUAGCGGGCUGCGGUGCUGUCGAUUUUUACCAUGAAUAGACUCCAAGCAUGCACCAGUAAUAUUGCAUNNNN